CUGGCGGCGUGGAUUAGGCAUGCAAGUCGAGCGACAGAGAGUCUUCGGACUCUUAUGGAGCGGCGGACGGGUGAGUAACACGUGAUCAACCUGUCCCUACGUUCCGAAUAAUUCACCGAAAGGUGUUGUAAUGCGGGCGAGGACGGCUGUGGGGCAUCUCACGGCCAGGGAACGCGCAAGCGGCGCAGGGAGGGGAUCGCGGCCUAUCAGGUAGAUGGUGAGGUAAUGGCUCACCAUGCCGACGACGGGUAGCUGGUCUGAGAGGAUGGUCAGCCACAUUGGGACUGAGAUACUGCCCAGACUCCUACGGGAGGCUGCAGUCGAGAAUCUUGCACAAUGCGCGAAAGCGUGAUGCAGCGACGCCGCGUGAAGGAUGAAGGCCCUCUGGGUCGUAAACUUCUUUUAACGGAGAAGAAUCAAUGACGGUAUCCGUUGAAUAAGCCACGGCUAACUACGUGCCAGCAGCCGCGGUAAUACGUAGGUGGCAAGCGUUGUCCGGAUUUACUGGGCGUAAAGCGUGGGCAGGCGGACAUUUAAGUAGGAAGUGAAAGGUUGGGGCUCAACCCUAACACUGCUCCCUAUACUGGGUGUCUUGAGUGGUGGAGAGGAAAGCGGAACUACACGUGUAGCGGUGAAA
rnacentral:rRNA from 1 species